rnacentral:rRNA from 1 species
UGGCGUGCCUAACACAUGCAAGUCGAACGCGAACGUCCUUCGGGACUAGUAGAGUGGCGGACGGGUGAGUAACGCGUGGGUAAUCUGCCCUCGAGUAGGGGAUAACUUCGGGAAACUGAAGCUAAUACCGUAUAAUGGUGCUUCUCUGCGGGGAAGUACACAAAGGUGGGGAUCUUCGGACCUGCCGCUUGAGGAUGAGCCCGCGUACCAUUAGGUAGUUGGUGGGGUAAUGGCCUACCAAGCCGAAGAUGGUUAGCUGGUCUGAGAGGAUGAUCAGCCACACUGGGACUGAGACACGGCCCAGACUCCUACGGGAGGCAGCAGUGGGGAAUCUUGCGCAAUGGGCGAAAGCCUGACGCAGCAACGCCGCGUGUGUGAAGAAGGCCUUCGGGUCGUAAAGCACUAUAAAGUGAGAAGAGCAGGCAGUGGUUAAUACCCACUGCCCCGACGGUAUCACUAGACAAAGCACCGGCUAACUCCGUGCC